UCCCUGCCCUUUGUACACACC
rnacentral:siRNA from 1 species